AAUGAACGCUGGCGGCGUGGAUAAGGCAUGCAAGUCGAACGAAUCGGUCCUUGGAAGUUUUGAAAGAGAUUUGAGUAGUAAUACAAGAGUCAAUUGAUAAAUGGAAAAGGUUUUCCGAUUAGUGGCAAACGGGGUAGUAACACGUGGGAACGUACCAAGAAGUCGUGAAUAAUGCAUCGAAAGGUGUACUAAUACACGAUGGUCCGGAAACGGUAAAGAUUUAUCGCUUCUUGAACGGCCUGCGGGGUAUCAGCUUGUUGGUAGUGUAAAAGACUACCAAGGCUAUGACGCCUAGGGGAGGUGAGAGCCUGACCCCCACCAUUGGAACUGCGACACGGUCCAAACACCUACGGGUGGCUGCAGUCGAGAAUCUUCCGCAAUGCACGAAAGUGUGACGGAGCGACGCCGCGUGAUGGAUGAAGCCCCUCGGGGUGUAAACAUCUUUUAUGUAUGAAGAAAUUAUUGACAUUAGUACAUGAAUAGGAGGCUCCUAACUCUGUGCCAGCAGCCGC
rnacentral:rRNA from 1 species